GAUGAACGCUGGCGGCGUGCCUAAUAUAUGCAAGUCGAGCGAACAGACGAGGAGCUUGCUCCUCUGACGUUAGCGGCGGACGGGUGAGUAACACGUGGAUAACCUACCUAUAAGACUGGGAUAACUUCGGGAAACCGGAGCUAAUACCGGAUAAUAUAUUGAACCGCAUGGUUCAAUAGUGAAAGACGGUUCUGCUGUUACUUAUAGCUCGAUCCGCGCAGCAUUUGCUAGUUGGUAAGCUAACGGCUUACCAAGCCAACGUAGCGUACCCGACCCGGUAGGGUGAUCGGCCACACUGGAACUAAGACACGGUCCAGACUCCUACGGGAGGCAGCAAUAGGGAAUCUUCCGCAAUGGACGAAAGCUUGACGGAGCAACGCCGCAUGAGUGAUGAAAGUCUUCGGAUCGUAAAACUCUGUUAUUAGGGAAGAACAAAUGUGUAAGUAACUAUGCACGUCUUGACGGUACCUAAUCAGAAAGCCACGGCUAACUACGUG
rnacentral:rRNA from 1 species